rnacentral:miRNA from 10 species
UUUGGGAGGCCAAGGCAGGAGGAUCACUUGAGCCCAGGAGUUUGACACCAGCCUGGGCAACACAGUGAGACCUCCUCUCUACAAAAA